rnacentral:rRNA from 1 species
AUUGAACGCUGGCGGCAGGCCUAACACAUGCAAGUCGAACGGUAACAGGAAACAGCUUGCUGUUUCGCUGACGAGUGGCGGACGGGUGAGUAAUGUCUGGGAAACUGCCUGAUGGAGGGGGAUAACUACUGGAAACGGUAGCUAAUACCGCAUAACGUGGCAAGACCAAAGAGGGGGACCUUCGGGUCUCUUGCCAUCGGAUGUGCCCGGAUGGGCUUAGCUGGUAGGUGGGGUAACGGCUCACCUAGGCGACGAUCCCUAGCUGGUGUGAGAGGAUGACCAGCCACACGGGAACGGAGACACGGUCCAGACUCCUACGGGAAGCAGCAGUGGGGAAUAUUGCACAAGGGGCGCAAGCCUGAUGCAGCCAUGCCGCGUGAAUGAAGAAGGCCUUCGGGUUGUAAAGUACUGUCAGCGGGGAGGAAGGGAGUAAAGUUAAUACCUUUGCUCAUUGACGUUACCCGCAGAAGAAGCACCGGCUAACUCCGUGCCAGCCGCCGCGGUAA